AGAGUUUGAUCCUGGCUCAGAACGAACGCUGGCGCAUGCUUAACACAUGCAAGUCGAACGAGACCUUCGGGUCUAGUGGCGCACGGGUGCGUAACGCGUGGGAAUCUGCCCUUUGCUACGGAAUAACUCAGAGAAAUUUGUGCUAAUACCGUAUAAUGUCGUAAGACCAAAGAUUUAUCGGCAAAGGAUGAGCCCGCGUAAGAUUAGCUUGUUGGUGAGGUAAAGGCUCACCAAGGCGACGAUCUUUAGCUGGUCUGAGAGGAUGAUCAGCCACACUGGGACUGAGACACGGCCCAGACUCCUACGGGAGGCAGCAGUGGGAAUAUUGGACAAUGGGCGAAAGCCUGAUCCAGCAAUGCUGCGUGAGUGAUGAAGGCCUUAGGGUUGUAAAGCUCUUUUACCAGGGAUGAUAAUGACAGUACCUGGAGAAUAAGCUCCGGCUAACUCCGUG
rnacentral:rRNA from 1 species